CGACCGGAUGCCCUGGACUCCGCCCUGCUGCGCCCGGGACGACUGGACCACAUCAUCUACGUCCCGCCACCCGACCUGGAGAGUCGUCUGUCCAUACUUAAGUUGAGCACAAAGUUGAUGCCAGUCGCUGAUGACGUUUGUUUGGACGAGUUGGCCCAAAAGACGGACCUCUUCUCGGGAGCGGAUUUGGAAAAUCUUUGUAAAGAGGCGGCGCUGUUGGCUCUGCAGGAAGAAACCAUGGAGGCUUCUCAAGUUGGACACAAAUAUUUUCUCUUGUCUCUCAGUAAAAUGACUCCAUCUCUGAUAUUACAGCAGAUUCAGAUGUACCAAAAUCCACCAGCAUAACGCAUCAAAAUUAAAAUAGUACUAACAAUCUAAAUUCUUGCUUGGUUUUGUUUGUUAUUCAACUAUCUAUUUCAAGCUGUGGGUCUCAAAACGUUUUAACCAUUGCCAUUGCAUUAUUUUUUAUUUUACCCAAAAUGUUUUAAUUGAUCCAAAAAAAUAAAUAAAUGCCUACACCAAGAAUAAACAUGUUUUAAAACAGGCAUCUCAGACACGCGGCCCGGGGGCCAAAUGUGGCCCGCGAGGUAAUUUUUUGUAGCCCGCGAGAUGAUGUCAAGAUUAUUUAUAUUAUAUGCGGCCCGAUGGUAAAUUGCAUUAAACACGUUAGAACUACAUUUCCCAUGAGGAAUCUCAC
rnacentral:lncRNA from 1 species